rnacentral:rRNA from 1 species
UACGUAGGUGGCAAGCGUUGUCCGGAUUUACUGGGCGUAAAGAGCGCGCAGGCGGUCGUUCAAGUCGCGUGUGAAAGCCCCCGGCUCAACUGGGGAGGGUCACGCGAUACUGAUCGACUCGAAGGCAGGAGAGGGAAGUGGAAUUCCCGGUGUAGUGGUGAAAUGCGUAGAUAUCGGGAGGAACACCAGUGGCGAAGGGC